rnacentral:rRNA from 1 species
UACGAAGGGGGCUAGCGUUGCUCGGAAUCACUGGGCGUAAAGCGCACGUAGGCGGAUCUUUAAGUCAGGGGUGAAAUCCCAAGGCUCAACCUUGGAACUGCCUUUGAUACUGGGGAUCUCGAGUCCGGAAGAGGUUGGUGGAACUGCGAGUGUAGAGGUGAAAUUCGUAGAUAUUCGCAAGAACACCAGUGGCGAAGGCGGCCAACUGGUCCGGUACUGACGCUGAGGUGCGAAAGCGCGGGGAGCAAACAGG